rnacentral:tRNA from 1 species
GCUUGUCUAGCUCAGUUGAUAUAGUGUAAGACUCUUAACCUUAAGGUCGUGGGUUCAAGCCCCACCGUGAGUG